AACUUUCAGCCUUUUGGCUAAGAUCAAGUGUAGUAUCUGUUCUUAUCAGUUUAAUAAUAUCUGAUAUGUGGGCCAAUGGUCCACACGAUAUUAAAUUAAUUUUUUAAGGGGGUAAGGCCCGCCACAAAAGCUUGCUAUUGGGGUCUUCAAGAGUCGCCCAAGUGCUGCACUACUGCUCGGGCCAGGCUCACCCCAC
rnacentral:snRNA from 1 species